CAGCAGCCGCGGUAAUACGAAGGGUGCAAGCGUUGUUCGGAAUUACUGGGCGUAAAGCGCGCGUAGGCGGUUACUCAAGUCAGAGGUGAAAGCCCGGGGCUCAACCCCGGAACUGCCUUUGAAACUAGGUGACUAGAAUCUUGGAGAGGUCAGUGGAAUUCCGAGUGUAGAGGUGAAAUUCGUAGAUAUUCGGAAGAACACCAGUGGCGAAGGCGACUGACUGGACAAGUAUUGACGCUGAGGUGCGAAAGCGUGGGGAGCAAACAGGAUUAGAUACCCGGGUAGUCCCUGUCUCUUAUAC
rnacentral:rRNA from 1 species